AACUAAACAGAUUCAGGUUAUGGAAAGAACCAGACCUUGAUGAAGAUUGCUAGAGCCAUUUGCAAACAGAAUGAAGCAACCACCAGCACCGUAAGAUCAUUCCCCUCCAUGUAAGAUUUGAGGUUGAAGGCAACGAAGCAAGAUGAGGUGGUGCCAGCAAGAAGUAUGAUGAUCCACCGGAGAAGCUCAAUAGGAAUAAGCAACAGAAACUGAAAAUUGCACGGCGUAUGUUAGAUGAUUGUCAGAGUAAUAGAAGAUGCAAAAAACAAACUGAUUCUCAGAUGUCUCAAGACAAUAAAAAGGGACUGUUGACCAUUUUUCGACAAUAUAAAGGUUCGGCAAUAUUUAAUUUAUUCUUUUAAAGGUUAUCGCUUGUUCACACUAUCACCAAGAACUAUAAUGUUCACAUAAUCUAGCAUCAGUAGAUAUGCUUAAGCCGAAAAAGCUUGAAACGGUGAGGAUUUUUUUUUUUUUCUUUUUGACAAGAAACCUUUUCAGCAAAAAAGACAAAAGCUCACCGAGGUGACAACAAAGAUGAAGAGAGAAUAUCCCCAGAGGCACCAAAACCGAACAAGGCUAGCACUUGAUCCCAUGUACUGAAGCAAAAAGUAAUAUGCCAAUGGCACCACUAUUGCAUAACCGUAGACUGUACAUGCUGCCACAUUUAC
rnacentral:lncRNA from 1 species